AAAAAAAAAAAAAAAAAAAAAAAAAAAAAAACACCACAAAAUUUUUCAUGAGAAAACCAAAAAAAAACUGAGAAUAUUCUGUAUCGGUCUACUACCAACUCACAAGAGAGCAGGACCAGUAUAUGGUAGAGGGAAAACGCCUGAAGAUAUUAAUCAGCGGCUAUUUAAUUAUUUUUUUUGAAUUUUAUAAUUUCUAUUAAUAUUCAGACAAAACUUAACAGUUUCUAUUAAUCAACGGCUAUUUAAUUAUAUAUUUUCUUUAUAACGUAUCUCCAAGUAUUUUCUUUUAACGUUUCAUGUUUUGAAGUUGGGUAUAUUAGGAGACUUAUGACUUAUUAGCUUGAUUCAUUGAAUUGUUUUAUUUUUUAACAAAAUUUUUUGUUUUUGAAAAAUAAAUAAAUAACCCUAAAGUUUAAUGAAACAAGCCAAACAGUAAUAUGUUUUUUGAAAAAAGAAAAGGGGUGGGGACAUCAUGCACUUGCUUGUGGAUCCUAAAGCACAAGCAAUUAAGCUUGUACUACAGACACAUCUUAUAGCCUAAAAUGAACGCACAAAGUACUACAAUUUUUCUGAGAAAAAAAAGUAGUACUUCAUUUUUUUCUUUUGGGGGAGAAAAGUACAACAUUGUUUUACUUUUGAGAAAAAAACAAAACAAAAAAAAAAAGAGUACAACAAUAUUUUGUGAUUAGAUUAGUAAUUCCAUACUAAAAAUUCAUUCUUACUCUUCACUCCAUAGAAUGGAAAAGGUGAACUCCCUUUAUUUGAUAUCACAUACAAUCUCUUUCAGCUUUGUUCCGAUGAAAGGCAAUGGCAAUUGUGCUGCCAACGUCAAAAUAUGCUUUGGUUGGCAAUUAAAGGCUUUUGCGCCCGACAUAUUUGAAAGCUGGAUACGUUUCAGCCUUAUACUUGUGCCACAAAAGUACCAACUGGACCGUAUCUAGAGCUAUAAAGGUUUGAAGCGAGUUGUACCCAAAAUACAUAUCUUUAAAAAAUAGAAAUUACAGAUAGCGAUUCUCUGUAAAUCCCAACUUUAAUUAAUAGGAGAGAUUUAGUUAUUCUGCAUAAAGUUGCCCACCACGAAAUUUUAUAGAUGAUUGUCGCAUGACACGGGCUUCAUGUUUCGCGUCCUAUAAGCCAGCUGAUUCAAACCUAAACAAAGCAGGAGCUUAGAAUUCGACACCCACCAUACUAAGCUUGCAGCAGAUGACUAAUAGCCCUAACAACCAUCUUAAAACCACCACCUAUGGUUAGGAAAUGCAUUCCAUCGACUAUGUGAUUGCAUCUAGAGAGGGAAAAAAAGAAAUUCAUACCUUCCCGAAGAAAGUCUUAAUGUUAGGUUGUAAUGACAAAAACAUUAUGCAUACACAUUCUAGGCGCAUAUGUAGCAUAAUACAGGACAACUACUUGGCAGAAUAACCACCAUAAAAUAUAAAAUUAAAAACAAAAAUAAAAAUUAAAAAUCCUAUAAGGUU